UAGGGGGCAAGCGUUAUCCGGAAUUACUGGGUGUAAAGGGAGAGUAGGCGGCAGGGUAAGCGAUAUGUGAAAGCCUUAGGCUUAACCUGAGGAUUGCAUAACGAACUAUCCAGCUAGAGUACAGGAGAGGAAAGCGGAAUUCCUAGUGUAGCGGUGAAAUGCGUAGAUAUUAGGAAGAACACCAGUGGCGAAGGCGGCUUUCUGGACUGAAACUGACGCUGAGGCUCGAAAGCGUGGGGAGCGAA
rnacentral:rRNA from 1 species